UCUCACAUUAUGACAAAAAAAAAAAACAUUGACUUGCAACUUGAAGAUAAAGCAGGACCCAUCUAAAGAACAGCAGUCAACAAAUUCUGCAUAAACUUGAAGAUAAGCUUGCAACUUUGAAGAUAAAGCAGGACCCAUCUUAUAUAAAGCAGUCAAUAAAGUCUGGAUAUUUUUGUUAUUACUAUUAUUUUUUAACGGUGAAUUUGGGUUCCACGACAUUGCCUCUUCAUAUACCCAACCCCAAUUCCAAAGAAACCUGGAUAUUCAUAUACAUUUUGCUAUAAAAGCAAAGGAGGCCUUACCGGUUGAUCAACAAACAGAUGCAACAAAGAUGAUUAGGACUAAUUUGGUAAAGCUUCUGAUGUGUUUCCUGGCACUAACAUCAAUGUCUAUAAUAAGUUAUGCAGUUGCAGCUCCCAAAGUUUCCGAUGCUGCUGCUUUUAGCAGAUUUUACCCCCAAGCUGGUUGUCGCUGCUGCAACUUCGUCUACAAGAAGUCGUUAAUAACAUGUGGGAAAGUCUGUUGUGUCGAUGGAUGCUGCUGAACUGUGUCGAUGAAUCCUGCUAAGCUCCGACUAUCUAUCAACACCAAUAAGCUUAGCUACUACAAUAAAAGUGCAUCUUUGGCUUCUGGAAUAAUGGAAUUGUUCACUUUUCCCUCUACUAAGAAUACUGAAACUUGUACAAUAAACUUUUCCCUCUAUAUAAUGGAAUUAUGGAGGUGAUGCUUAAACUGUUACACAUCUUAUAAUACAAUGCAAUGUGCAAUCCAUGAA